GGUCAACACAGAAGAAAAACACUGAACACAGCAUCACCAGGUUGUUAUCAUUCUGAAUUCUGCAGGAGUUCUACCUUAAGUACAUAGUGCACAAUAGUGUACAGCAGUUAUAAUAGACAACCAUCCCUUAGACAAAUCCCUCAUUACAGCACAUUGUCAGUGGUGUGCUUCCAAGGCACUCUACAAAGACAGAUUCAUACGGUAUUUUAAAACUGAGACUUUAAACAGAAAAAAAGAAGAGUAUUGCAGUCAAGUACUUCUUCAUAGAGCUUCCAAGGGGAAAAGAAGAACAUUUUGAUAGGCUCUGAGGAGUAUUGCACUUGAUUUUUUCUGCCCAGCUUCUGAUAAUGCUACACAAUUGGCAGGAAGCUCACUGGAUGAAGACAGUCCAUCUCUCCUGUUUUUUCUUUAAAGCUUCAUAGUUUCAGAAGGCAUCUAUCUCAUGAUAAUGGCUUCAUCAAUUCAAAUGACAACAAAAAAGGAAGAUGGUAACAUUAAUAUAAAAACUUCAACAGAAAUGGCAACCUGUUUCCAUCACAAAUGAAGUUAAAAAUGUUUCUAAUUGGAGCUGGACCAGCUGCAGAGCAAACAGGGUCCGUUCGUCAUGUUUUGAAUCAAUUAAUGUCUUCAGCUAAGAGUUAGUAAGCCAUCAAUAUGUUUACUGCUUAACUGCGAUGAGCUUUAGGCCCUUUUAGACUUCACCUAGCUUUACUCCACGUGUUGCAAAGCAGCGGUGAUUUUGGAGAUACCACUGGUAACAGUGAAGGACAGCCAACAUGACUUGGGGGCAUAAGCAGCAUCAGUUGCUUUGAUACCACAGCAUCAGAUGGACCUUCCAGAGAAAUGGGAAUUGACCACCCACUACCAUGUGGGUUGGUUUGGCCAGUGCUGCAUAAAGUGGAGGAGGCUGUGAG